rnacentral:lncRNA from 1 species
ACUUUGCAGGGGUGGUUUUACAAUAUGGCUACACCUAAGCCUCCAGAAAGGACCUGGCCCUGAGGCUCACACUCAGGAGGAAGGAACAUAUGUCUCCAAACUUACUGCUUCUAAAUCCUGCCCCUUUACUCCACAGCUGCACAUGCAGUUUAGACUGAUGCUCUCCGGACUGUGCACGCUCUCGCCUCCGGAGAAGUCUUCGGUGCAGCUUGCGCUUACAACUACCAAGGUUUCCCAGGUCCUGCUCCGCCCCCCGCCCCCCACCUUUGCCCGAAAUGACAGCACUGUCUCCACGGCCACUUCCUCCAGGAGUGUUGGGAGCAUUGGGCGACUGCCUGGUGAUGAGA